UACGUAGGGCGCAAGCGUUGUCCGGAAUUAUUGGGCGUAAAGAGCUCGUAGGCGGCUUGUCACGUCGGAUGUGAAAGCCCGAGGCUUAACCUCGGGUCUGCAUUCGAUACGGGCUAGCUAGAGUGUGGUAGGGGAGAUCGGAAUUCCUGGUGUAGCGGUGAAAUGCGCAGAUAUCAGGAGGAACACCGGUGGCGAAGGCGGAUCUCUGGGCCAUUACUGACGCUGAGGAGCGAAAGCGUGGGGAGCGAACGGG
rnacentral:rRNA from 1 species